rnacentral:rRNA from 1 species
UUAAAUUGAAGAGUUUGAUCAUGGCUCAGAUUGAACGCUGGCGGCAGGCUUAACACAUGCAAGUCGAACGGUAACAUGAGUGCUUGCACUUGAUGACGAGUGGCGGACGGGUGAGUAAAGUAUGGGGAUCUGCCGAAUGGUGGGGGACAACAGUUGGAAACGACUGCUAAUACCGCAUAAAGUUGAGAGACCAAAGCAUGGGAC